rnacentral:lncRNA from 1 species
UGCAGAUAUGGUUUUCUUAGCGGACAGGUGAAAAUGGUGUCAGCACUAAGCACAAAACACAUGACCUAUGCUGCUACUGUGGGUUCAAGUGUUGGAAAACUGUGGGGGGGUGGUCAUUGGUUUUCUGCCUUCCUGCUUAUGCCUAGUCAAAUGCACGGAGAUCAUUUUGCUAGCUCUGACACCUGCUCGUAGGACAUUGAAACUUUGGCAAAGAGCUGCAUCACGCCACUGACCGCCCAGAGACUCAGUAAGUUGAAAAGAGUGUAGUUCACCACACCUUUACGUGAUUUGUGACUCUCUAUAAUCAGCAUUUGAAAAAGAAACUCCAGCACACUGGUAUUCUAGAAUACUCCACAGACAAUUCAGGCUUUUUGGACUGUUCAUUGGUUAAGGUCGCUGUCACUACUCUAAGGCUGACCUGUGGAGUCCGACUUCCGACAUUGUGGGAUUUAGAUUUUUCUGACUUUUCAGAUUGUUCGUCCUUACCCAACUUGUGCCUGACAGACACAACUUUAAGCUUGUAGAUCAAUUGGAGCAGCUGCAGUUUAUUUGUUUUCAAAUAAAGUAUGACUAGCUGCUAGGGUUUGUUCAGUAUGAGACCUGGGUAGGUGUGGCUCUGUCCGGGCCUUUGAGUGACAUGGCUUGACAUUGGCACCAAGAGGACACAAUCAUCAAUCUUCAACUCGGCAACAAGACCCAGUCCCUUCAACAGUUAAAUCCAUGAAUAUGUAAAAAGGCAGACCAUAUGAAUAUCAUAUCCCUGUGUUGGGUAACCCAAUAGCUUUAAGGCUGCCUUAUUGAAAGUGACACUACAACCAACCCGGGUUGUGUUUCCGAUGCCCGACACAUUAAUAAUUAAGGUUGCCCAUAUGACCACCGCAACUAUGAGCUCCGUAUCAUAAAACGGCAGUGUGCGUU